GACGAACGCUGGCGGCGUGCCUAAUACAUGCAAGUAGAACGCUGAAGGAGGAGCUUGCUUCUCUGGAUGAGUUGCGAACGGGUGAGUAACGCGUAGGUAACCUGCCUGGUAGCGGGGGAUAACUAUUGGAAACGAUAGCUAAUACCGCAUAAGAGUAGAUGUUGCAUGACAUUUGCUUAAAAGGUGCAAUUGCAUCACUACCAGAUGGACCUGCGUUGUAUUAGCUAGUUGGUGGGGUAACGGCUCACCAAGGCGACGAUACAUAGCCGACCUGAGAGGGUGAUCGGCCACACUGAGACUGAGACACGGCCCAGACUCCUACGGGAGGCAGCAGUAGGGAAUCUUCGGCAAUGGACGGAAGUCUGACCGAGCAACGCCGCGUGAGUGAAGAAGGUUUUCGGAUCGUAAAGCUCUGUUGUAAGAGAAGAACGAGUGUGAGAGUGGAAAGUUCACACUGUGACGGUAUCUUACCAGAAAGGGACGGCUAACUACGUG
rnacentral:rRNA from 1 species